rnacentral:tmRNA from 1 species
GGGGCUGAAUUAGGUUCGACGAGAAGAUCCGCGGCCGGCGUAAGCAGGCGGAGUUGCGAGCUCUCCUAAAACGAUCGCAAGCGUUAUACACGCGAAUAACCAAUACGCUCUGGCUGCUUAAUAAGCUAGCCACGGGAUGCGAGAGGUCGCCGGAAUCAACUCGCAAACCGUCAUGAGCUCCGGCUAGAACGGGGACGUUGAUCCGACAGCCGUUCGAAAUCAAAGGAUCUGCCGCGAACACCAUUCCGGUUUCGAGAAGUGUGUGCGCGAAAGCUAAAAUCGAAACUACGCCUGUAGAAAGCUCCGGCUAGGCUUUUCGGACUCGGGGGGCAGCUCCCCGACAGCUCCACCA